rnacentral:rRNA from 1 species
CCUACGGGAGGCAGCAGUGAGGAAUAUUGGUCACUGGGCGCGAGCCUGAACCAGCCAAGUCGCGUGAGGGAAGACGGUCCUAUGGAUUGUAAACCUCUUUUGUCGGGGAGCAAAAGACGCCACGCGUGGCGUUCCGAGAGUACCCGAAGAAAAAGCAUCGGCUAACGCCAUGCCAGCAUCCGCGGUAAUACGGAGGAUGCGAGCGUUAUCCGGAUUUAUGGGGUUUAAAGGGUGAGCAGGCGGAAGAUCAAGUCAGCGGCAAAAUUGAGAGGCUCAACCUCUUCGAGCAGUUGAAACUGGUUUUCUUGAGUGAGCGAGAAGUAAGCGGAAUGCGUGGUGUAGCGGUGAAAUGCAUAGAUAUCACGCAGAACUCCGAUUGCGAAGGCAGCAUACCGGCGCUCAACUGACGCUCAUGCACGAAAGUGUGGGUAUCGAACAGGAUUAGAUACCCGAGUAGUC